UACGUAGGCAGCGAGCGUUGUUCGGAGUUACUGGGCGUAAAGCGUGCGUAGGCGGUGUCUUAAGUUUGUUGUGAAAUCUCCCGGCUUAACCGGGAGGGUGCGGCGAAUACUGAGAUGCUGGAGUGCCGGAGAGGUAAGCGGAAUUCCUGGUGUAGCGGUGAAAUGCGUAGAUAUCGGGAGGAACACCAGUGGCGAAGGCGACUUCCUGGCCUGUUCUUGACGCUGAGGCGCGAAAGCUAGGGUAGCAAACGGG
rnacentral:rRNA from 1 species